rnacentral:rRNA from 1 species
UGUAAGCGUAUACCAAAGUUGUUGCAGUUAAAACGCUCGUAGUCGGAAUUUGGCAGUUCCGGAUGUGUGCACGUCGUGUGCGCACUUCGCUGGGAUUGCUUUUGUGGUCUUGCGUAGGAUGAGGCACUUUUAUUAGUGAACGUCCUCACGCAACCACUUUUUACUGUGAGAAAAUCAGAGUGCUCAAAGCAGGCAUUUGCCGUGAAUGUAUUAGCAUGGAAUAAUAGAAUAGGACUCGGUUCUAUUUUGUUGGUUUGUUAGGACUGAGUAAUGAUUAAGAGGGACAGUUGGGGGCAUUUGUAUUUCGGCGCUAGAGGUGAAAUUCUUAGAUUGCCGAAAGACAAACUGCUGCGAAAGCGUCUGCCAAGGAUGUUUUCAUUGA